rnacentral:tRNA from 1 species
GCCAGUGUGGUGUAGUGGUUUGAGUGUUGGACUAUAACUCUGGAGACUGGGGUUCAAAUCCCUGUUCAGUCA